AUUGAACGCUGGCGGCAGGCCUAACACAUGCAAGUCGAGCGAGCGGCGGACGGGUGCGUAAUGUAUGGGGACUGCCCGAUAGAGGGGGAUAACUACUGGAAACGGUAGCUAAUACCGCAUACUAUCGGAUAACCCAUAUGGGAUUAGCUAGUAGGUGAGGUAAUGGCUCACCUAGGCGACGAUCCCUAGCUGGUCUGAGAGGAUGAUCAGCCACACUGGGACUUGGCCACGGCCCAGACGCCGACGGAGGCAGCAGUGGGGAAUAUUGCACAAUGGCCGCAAGCCGGAUACCGCCAGGCCGCAUGUAUGAAGAAGGCCCUAGGGUUGUAAAGUCCUUUCAGUCGAGAGGCGUUGCCGACAGAAUAAUCACCGGCUAACUCCGUGCCAGCAGCCGCGGUAAUAC
rnacentral:rRNA from 1 species